UUUUUCUUCUUCUCUUUCUUCUCUUCUUCUUCUGUUCCUCUCCUCCUCUCUGCCGAGCUCUGACUUGGUGAAUCGAGCUUAGAUUUAGGGUUAGUGAUCUAUAGAGAUUGAUAGUUUGUACAAUCGAAGAUGUAGGUGAUGUUUCUUUGGUUCCUUGAACACGAGAAGGAGAAGAUGGGGUUGCUUCUGUCAACUGAAGUUAGGGUUUGUGAAGAACUGAUGAUGAGAUAGUGUUGUUGAUUGACGAAGAACGGAAGGGUUGAGGUUGAAUUGAAGUUUCGAAGUUGUCCAAAUGAUGAAUUGAAACUAGGGUUUCAUAAUCUUCCCCAAACCAGUUUUCAGUAUUCGGAAGAAAUGGAGCGUUUGAAGAUAUUCGUUUCGUAAAUUAGAGCUUUAUCGAUUCUGGAGUGUUGUGUAUCUUUUACUACAUGUAUUCUUUCUUAUUUUGUAAACAACACAUUAAUAUAUUUAUAUCACUUGAGAGAUCUUCAUUUGUA